UCAAAGCAAAAUGUCAAAUACCAAUAUGAGAAUGUGAAAAUAAAUCAGACUAAGGAUAAAUGUUUAUAAAGAUAUUAGUGUCAACAAAACUUAUUUUGGUUUAUGAAAGUGUGGUGCGGUCCUGCCUGUCGAUAAUAUGAUAUUCUUUGCCUUCCUAUCUGCUAAAGCAAACAAGGAAAAGAAAAGAAUGUAUUUAAACACUAUGAAUAUACAUGCAUCUUGUAUAAGGCAACAUUCAUUUCUAGGUUUAUGAAGUCUCAUAGAUUUUUUUGGACUAUAUAUC
rnacentral:lncRNA from 1 species